GUGCUGGCUUCGGCAGCACAUAUACUAAAAUUGGAAUGAUACAGAGAAGAUUAGCAUGGCCCUUACACAAGGAUGACAUGCAAUUUUUGAAGCAGUCCAUAUUUUU
rnacentral:snRNA from 1 species